ACACAGGUUCAUCAAGAGUGUCAGGCACUUGGUGGGCAGUUCAUACUCCUCUGACAAACUACAAUUUGGUGGGAAACUUCACAAGAACCCACGGUAUCACAUCUGUAAAUUCAUGGAGUGCCCUGCACUUGACUUCUGCUGUCCUUCAUGUCCUCUACACAAAAAAUACUCAUUUAAUGAAAAGCAUGUUGCUAGUUCCUUUAGUGCAAUCCAGAGUUGCGCCUGGGUCACUUAGAACUGUAGCUUCUGCUGAUGUGAAGACUUCCUGCUCACAGAUAACAUGACAUGAGACCCUACUUGCUCCAGAGCCUGAUUGGCGUGGAUCUCCCGGCACACAGAAAGGCAAAGCUGUCUGAAAAUAGAGAAAGAGGAAGAGACUGCAAAAUCUACCAAACAAAUAUGAAGAAACUGUUUUUGAAAGUAAUUUAGGGAGAUGAAGAGCACGCUUAGAAAACAUGGGCAUGACACACAUACAGCAGUAAAUUCAGAUCCACCUAAAUGGGCUUUGAGCAGGAGUUUGGCAUUCUCAACCUGGGAUUCAGGUGUUGGCCUGAGAUUGGUGGCAUGUUACGUACACCUCUGACAAGGUUAGCAGGAUGUUCCAGGUAUGUUUAUGCUACACAGCAUUGCCAUGAUACUUGCCUGAGGGGGAAGACAUACAUGAAAUAAGGAGCCCUGAAAAGAAGAGGACAUAGGAGCUGUGAGGCUCAGGAGGACAUAAGCAUGCUGGACCAGGAAGAUGAUGAAGGAGCAAGGACACCAGCUAGUGUUCCCUGAG